rnacentral:rRNA from 1 species
UACGUAGGUGGCAAGCGAUACUCGGAAUCACUAGGCGUAAAGCGCAGGUAGGCGGUUCGGUAAGUCUUUUUGUGAAAGCUCCCGGCUCAACUGGGAGAGGCCAAGGGAAACUGCCGGGCUAGAGUGUGGUAGGGGAUACUGGAAUUCCUGGUGUAGCGGUGAAAAUGCGUAGAUAUCAGGAGGAACACCGGUGGUGUAGACGGCUAUCUGGACCGUAACUGACGCUGAGGCACGAAAGCGUGGGUAGCAAACAGG